CUAACACCUCCAAAUCUCCAUUCCCAUACCUAAGCCUUUUAAAAUAAUAAUAAAAAUUUCUGCAAACUGUGGAAGCAGACACCUAGCAUCGAAGAUAGAACACAAAAUGUUGCAAAAGAACAGAAAAGAUUGUAAGAAACAGGAAGUCAACUAAGGCAACCACAACAAAUAUCUACAUCAGACCACAACACAGAGCCUCUCUGAGCUGAU